UCCCGGGUUUCUCUCCUUUCUUGUGCUCCUUCUGGAACCUUGGGAGCACCAGGGAUUGUUUUUAUCUGUACAAGGAAUUAAAAAAUUAUUUGGCUGGUCUUUUCUUGCUAUUUCUGAGUCCUCCAUUUGUGAUGGCUUUUGUAUUGUUUUCUUUACUGGGGAUAUAAUCUUCAAGAAUUGUUAGACCAAAGACUGUGCAUACUUUCAGUGAUGUUGAUACUUAUUGCCCAGUUGCCUUCCAGGGAGGCUGUAACACCUUGGGCUCUCACUACCAGACAGUCUUAUGAUGGACUUUAAAAUCAUUAUACCAAGCAAGCCCUACUCACUUGACUGCACACUGAAUGCCGGAACAUGGGUGCCCCUCAUAUGGCCCCUUGUAUUCAUAAGCACAAAACAUACCAGGAGCUGGGUUUGGUGGGGCUAGACUUUCUUCCCAAUGUGGAAUCACAUGGCCUCUUUAGAAAUAAGUCCCUCAGUGCCACUGACCUCCACUUGGCUAUCCUCCAGUCUUUGGCCCCAAGACAGUCCUGUGGAUCCUCAGAGUCCCUGUGUUCCUACUGCUGCAGCUGCCAUAGUGCCCAGCUGUAUGCUCCCCAGGGUAGCCAAGCCAGCCUAUUCUGGGCUCUGGCUGUCCAUCUUAGGGAGCCCGGUUUCCAGCCAGCGCCCUCGCCAAGCCUGGUCUCCUCUAGGGAUUUCCUGCAGGUUAGCUCUAGGGAGCUUCUUCCUAGUUUCUAAUAUACAUGUGUUUUUUUCUCUAUUUCAUAUUUUCUAGGCUUGCUCUUAUUGAAGGGACUUUUUCAGGGUCUUUCUUAUUGAGGAGUAAUGAACACAGUAAAUUCACAAACCUUAAGCAUAUGGUGAAUUUUUGUGUGUGUGUGUGUGGUAUGACUCUACAUUUAUUCAGGUCUUUUUUUAAAAUUU